CUUCCCUUUCUCAUAUUUUCAGUUUCCUCUCAGAGAAGAGAAGAGAAGAGAAGAUGGCAAUGCCAUCGUCGACUUUCAGUUUUGAUUUCCCAGUAAGCCAUCAUCAUCAUCUGUAUAAUGCCAAUGCCAUCGUCGACUUUCAAUUUUGAUUUCCUUUAGCAGUAAGCCAUCAUCAUCAUCUGUAUAAGGAUGUCGAUUUACUGGGUUGGAGUUUGGAAGAACUAAUCAUCAGUUUGUUCAUCAGUUGAUACAAAGUACAAACAUCAGGUGUUGAGGAAGAAGAAACUGUAUCCUUGGUGGUGGUUCAUUUUGCAGUUGGCUUUAGACUUUGGCUUACUCAUACACUAAAUGCAGACAUCUUGGAUGUGGUUCAACUGUCAGAGGUUUUGGAUGCUUGAUGCUCGGAGAUGGAGUUCGUUUUUUGUCGCAGAAAACUUAUGAAAGUGGUCAAUUGCCAAAGCGAAACUGUCGAAAUGCUGUUUUUUGCUUUGCUUUCUGUUUUUUCUACUUGAACUCUUAAACAAUUGAUGUUGUUGUAUGUAUGAAUUUAUUCAGGCCUUAAGACUCUUAAGUCUUAACAGUUGAAGUUUUUAAACUUAGAACUUUCAAGAU